CGAGCGAACAGAUGAGAAGCUUGCUUCUCUGAUGUUAGCGGCGGACGGGUGAGUAACACGUGGGUAACCUACCUAUAAGACUGGGAUAACUCCGGGAAACCGGGGCUAAUACCGGAUAAUAUUUUGAACCGCAUGGUUCAAUAGUGAAAGACGGUUUCGGCUGUCACUUAUAGAUGGACCCGCGCCGUAUUAGCUAGUUGGUAAGGUAAUGGCUUACCAAGGCGACGAUACGUAGCCGACCUGAGAGGGUGAUCGGCCACACUGGAACUGAGACACGGUCCAGACUCCUACGGGAGGCAGCAGUAGGGAAUCUUCCGCAAUGGGCGAAAGCCUGACGGAGCAACGCCGCGUGAGUGAUGAAGGUCUUCGGAUCGUAAAACUCUGUUGUUAGGGAAGAACAAAUUUGUUAGUAACUGAACAAGUCUUGACGGUACCUAACCAGAAAGCCACGGCUAACUACGUGCCAGCAGCCGCGGUAAUACGUAGGUGGCAAGCGUUAUCCGGAAUUAUUGGGCGUAAAGCGCGCGUAGGCGGUUUCUUAAGUCUGAUGUGAAAGCCCACGGCUCAACCGUGGAGGGUCAUUGGAAACUGGGAAACUUGAGUGCAGAAGAGGAGAGUGGAAUUCCAUGUGUAGCGGUGAAAUGCGCAGAGAUAUGGAGGAACACCAGUGGCGAAGGCGGCUCUCUGGUCUGUAACUGACGCUGAUGUGCGAAAGCGUGGGGAUCAAACAGGAUUAGAUACCCUGGUAGUCCACGCCGUAAACGAUGAGUGCUAAGUGUUAGGGGGGUUUCCGCCCCUUAGUGCUGCAGCUAACGCAUUAAGCACUCCGCCUGGGGAGUACGACCGCAAGGUUGAAACUCAAAGGAAUUGACGGGGACCUGCACAAGCGGUGGA
rnacentral:rRNA from 1 species